rnacentral:rRNA from 1 species
CCACGGGUGGCAGCAGUGGGGAAUAUUGGACAAUGGGCGAAAGCCUGAUCCAGCCAUGCCGCGUGUGUGAAGAAGGCCUUCGGGUUGUAAAGCACUUUCAGUGGGGAAGAAAGCCUUGGGGCUAAUACCCUCGAGGAAGGACAUCACCCACAGAAGAAGCACCGGCUAACUCCGUGCCAGCAGCCGCGGUAAUACGGAGGGUGCGAGCGUUAAUCGGAAUUACUGGGCGUAAAGCGCGCGUAGGCGGUCUGAUAAGCCGGUUGUGAAAGCCCCGGGCUCAACCUGGGAACGGCAUCCGGAACUGUCAGGCUAGAGUGCAGGAGAGGAAGGUAGAAUUCCCGGUGUAGCGGUGAAAUGCGUAGAGAUCGGGAGGAAUACCAGUGGCGAAGGCGGCCUUCUGGACUGACACUGACGCUGAGGUGCGAAAGCGUGGGUAGCAAACAGGAUUAGAUACCCUUGUAGUC